GAGAAAGGCCCGAGGCACUAGAGACUGCUAAUCCCUACUUCUGUGGUUAAACUCCACAGCUCUCUCG
rnacentral:tRNA from 1 species